rnacentral:rRNA from 1 species
UACAGAGGGUGCGAGCGUUGUUCGGAAUUAUUGGGCGUAAAGCGCUUGGUAGGCGGCUUGUUAAGUUCCGUGUGAAAUCCCCAGGCUUAACCUGGGAAGUGCGCGGGAAACUGGCGAGCUUGAGUGCCGGAGAGGGUCGCGGAAUUCCCGGUGUAGAGGUGAAAUUCGUAGAUAUCGGGAGGAACACCAGUGGCGAAGGCGGCGACCUGGACGGACACUGACGCUGAGACGCGAAAGCG